CAACAUCUUGGGGUUGCAUAGUGUGUUGAAGUUAACCACAUCUUUCCGGCGACGCUACCUCCUCCUCGCGUUGCUCCACUUGACGGCGUCCAGUUGAUGAGUUACCGACGGCAGCCCUGAGCUCAUCCCCGUCCCGACGCCAGAUCCCUCAGAUCCCAGGCCGUCUUGCUCCUCCUCCCUUGGGUCGGCGGCGCUGCUCAGCCGAUAGGAGGCGAGAGAAGGCGGUCCGUUGUGCUCCUCUUCCCCUAGGUCGCCCAUGCCCUGUUCGAUACUGCUGCCAGCGCGCCGAAGAGGAGAACAGUGGAUGGCAGCACCUCAUUUCCUUCUACACCUAGGUGACAUGAAGUUUACGACCUUUAAGAAAUGUCUUCUAUAAAUCUGUACGUCGCCCACAAAUAUAUUAGAGGGUGAAAGAUUGAUUAUUACUGGAUAUUAUUUACUACAUGAGAAAAUUGAAGCUCCCAUGUUCAUCGCAACAUACAACCUGUCUGUUGCUAAAUAAUCCAGUUGGCAUUGUUAGUACCACCCGUUCAUGGCCAGAGGAGUUUCCAGUGCCAGGCAGUGGUAUCUCGUUGAGUUUGAAAUUUGGAUUGGUUACUCUACAAAAUCUGUGUGGUUUAGUCAACUGAAUUGUGGACUCUGGACUGCUCUGGUACUACUAAUUAAUUUUAUGUUUCCCUUUUUACAGUAAAUUUAUACUGUUCGUUAUAGACCUGAUGUUGUUUUGGUUUACAUGCUCGGUAUGUCCACUGAAUUUUAUAUUGUUGUCCAUUGAUCUGGUUGUUGUUCUAGCUUCCAUGGUCACUUGGUCUGUUAUUCUUCGUAGCAUUUCAUUGAUAACCUUUUCUAACUAUGACGAUUCAGAUAGAUUGUGGGUAUAAAUCAUAAUUACAUGAUGCUUUCAGGUUUUUCACCUGAUCUUUCUUCAUAUGAUGAACACCAGGUUAUGAAUGUUAAAAUGCCUUUCUUGUUUAGGUUUGCGCACCCUAUGUUAGCCCAUCAAUAGUUCCGAUUGGAUAUGGUAUUGCACAGUCAGGUGUACCACGCCUAUACAGGAGUAUCUUUUGAAGGUUUGAAUCAUGGUUAUUGCUUCACAUAUUGCACAGUGUUUGCUAUCGAGGGCCCAUCAGCAGUUUGACAGCGUUACAAUAAUAUCACCUUCGUUUGGAAGUCUUGUCAGUUUAGCAACUAAGGAACGGUGGAUGGGGUGGAGUCAUCUUUCAUCCAGAACAGAGGGUUUCCCUUUGAUCAUUUUCUCACAUCAAAGAUUAAUUCAUGUGCUCUGUGGAGAUGACAAAUGAACGAAUUGCUGCGGGUGAACUUACUAUAUCUCUCUUAUCGACAUCGGCAGCUGUAACGGUGGUAAACUUAGUAUUUUUCCUGCUUUCAUUGAUAUGGCCUUGAUAUUCUUCAUGCUAUUUUUGUUAGUAUUAUGUGCGUGGACUUGAAAAGAAUACACACUUUCAUCAUUUCUG